UGUGGCUUCGACGGGGAGGGCUGGCUCAGAGUUGCAAGCCGCGGCGCCUGACCGCGUUAAAACGGGCAAAAGAUAGAUGCGAACACUCGCACCAACCUCCAGGCGCUUCCCGUCGCGGCGUAAGUCGCUAAGGAAUUCGGCUUGAGGUUCGCAACCUAGCGUUGCGACGUCCACAUUCGUUCUCCCCCGAAGGAGGAAUGCUGGGCGCAACCAAGUCGGGGUGCGGUAGCCGCGACGCCGGUAACGGUUAUCAAAGCGUAGGGGUAACCCUUGUGGUUACCUUGACACGGCUCGGCGUUUCCAAUCCUGUCGGUCGGACCGGGAAACGCGAGAACCAAAGACCGACUAAGCUUGUAGUAACUGUGGGACGAACUCUUCGGACGCGGGU
rnacentral:tmRNA from 1 species